GAUGAACGCUGGCGGCGUGCCUAAUACAUGCAAGUCGAGCGAACAGACGAGGAGCUUGCUCCUCUAACGUUAGCGGCGGACGGGUGAGUAACACGUGGAUAACCUACCUAUAAGACUGGGAUAACUUCGGGAAACCGGAGCUAAUACCGGAUAAUAUAUUGAACCGCAUGGUUCAAUAGUGAAAGACGGUUUUGCUGUCACUUAUAGAUGGAUCCGCGCCGCAUUAGCUAGUUGGUAAGGUAACGGCUUACCAAGGCAACGAUGCGUAGCCGACCUGAGAGGGUGAUAGGCCACACUGGAACUGAGACACGGUCCAGACUCCUACGGGAGGCAGCAGUAGGGAAUCUUACGCAAAGGGCGAAAGCCUGACGGAGCAACGCCGCGUGAGUGAUGAAGGUCUUCGGAUCGUAAAACUCUGUUAUUAGGGAAGAACAAAUGUGUAAGUAACUAUGCACGUCUUGACGGUACCUAAUCAGAAAGCAACGGCUAACUACGUG
rnacentral:rRNA from 1 species